CGGAAUUGGAUUUGGAUGCAUCUACAAUGAGUUCAUGUAUGUCACCUUCGUUUACUUAUGUUCCAUGUUUGGUUCAAAAUUUUAAUUGUACGUAGAUUUGGUCUCCUCAUCGUUGAGGUUUCGAUUUAAUUUACUAUUUCUUAACAUUUUACAAAUUUUGACGGUAAUUACGAUGGGUUAUGUUGCAUAUUAUUUUUUACUUCACAAUAUUAUCUUGAACGUUUACAAGUUUAUAUGUAAAAUUGCAAAAAAUAACGAUUUUGAGGGUUUGUUUUGUACAAAACUAUUUCUUAUGUUUCUUUAUCAACCUCAGUCAUUAUACUAAUUUUUGUUACAAUUGCUUAAGAGAUCAUCAGUAAGGAUGGAUUGUUUAAAAACUCGCUACAGAUAGACUUAGUACCUAGCGGAAAAAUUGCUUAUGAUUUUCACGAAAACUUCAAACAUAAUUGAUUGUAUAAAAUCCCAAACUCUGGAUCUAGAUGUUUUUAAAAAAAAAAUUGUCAAUCACCGUCAAAAUUUGUAAAAUAUGGCGAUUUAGAUGAUUAUUUUGCCCAAAACUUUUAUUUAUGGUUCUCUAUAAACCUCAAUCAUUUUGCUGAUUUUUAUUACAAUUGCAUUAAAAAUAUGGUUUUGUUUUGAUAAUAUGAAUGUUUGCAGGCAACUAAAGUUUAUGAGAAGAAGGUUAAAUUUCCAAUGUAAUGACCUUGUUGAUUUAGUAAACAGUAAUAGGCCUUGUUUAAAAUACUGUUAGGCACUUAGGCUAGUCGAGCACUUGGGUAGAUUUUUCCGCAAUCGGUUAUAUAUUUUUAUUAAAAUUUUGUUCAUAAGUUAUUGUAAAACGUAACAUCACACACUUCCAAUCUAAAUGUAUAAAUAACAAAAAGAAAAAAAAUUGGUUUAUACUUGCAAUCUAAAUAAUUGUGAUAUGUAACAUUAGACAAGGAAUAAUUAAAUUAGACAGUAAUUGGGUGACUGAUUUUUUCAAAGGAUUACUCAGUAAUCGAAAUGGAUAAGGUGAACCUAAUAACUAAUCUGGAGUAAUCGAAGCUGGACAAGAUUUUUAGAACAAGAGUAAUAGGUGACAAAACAUAAAUCUUCAAUUUGCCUGCACAUGCUUUGAGAAGACUAGGGAAUGAGUAAAUGUAAAAGUAUCAGGUAAGAGUCUAUUGACAAGCAUGGAAGAGAAUGGGGAGACAAAUGGUUAGUGAGAGAGUUGAGAUACUUGGUGGAGUUUAGGAAAGAGGUAGCUCUGAUCAUAGCUCCAUGGUUUUGAUCAAAGCGUGAACGAUCACUAUAAAGAAGUCAUUGAUUGGCCGAGAAAAGAAGAUAUUGAUUUGCGUUAUGGUUUCCUUAUAAGGUUUAUAUAAAACCGAACCAAACCGUACCAAACCAAAAUCUAAAACUUUUACCAUAUAUACUAGGUCCGGACAGAAAUAUGGGUGACAAAUAAGAUUGAUGAGACCAACGUGGUAUCGUGGAGCAUGUUCUUGGCAGUAGAUUAUUCCAAAACUGAUAUUGACUCUGGAGUUAGGUUUUUGGUCGACGAAGAGAAGAAAUUUGUCGUGUAUUGGCAUAUGAAAAGUGUGGUCAGUUACGAAAACGUGGUACACAUAAUUGAGGAGGAUAAUAAGGUUAGGAAAGUGGAUUUUGAAGCAUAUGCGAGGAGUACAUCAUAUAGCCCUCCUUUAUUUACUUAUGUUCCAAGUUUGGUUCAAAUCCAGUGACUUUGAAGACCGAAGGAGGCAACUAUAUAUGUAAAUGACUCCAUCUUUUGUGUUUUUCUUUUUUUGCAACUUAAUGUAUAAGAGUGUUGCAAAAUAGAUUCAAAGCCACUACCUAUUAUAGUUCAAAGUUCAAACUAAAACAAACACAACAACUUUAGUUAAAGUUAUACAACGAUAAAGUAUAAUACUCAUUGUCAGAUCUGUUGAAGAUUUUCGAUUGUCUUGUCCGAAAACAACUUUUGCUGGGAUUAAUUAAUGCUUGUGCGUGUAUGCUCCUUAGACGCAGCAUAUACAAGAUCUAAGAGUUGUGGACGCUUUGACUGUGGCUUUUCAAUUUUAUGAUAGAUAGAGUAUUAGAGUUGUUGAAUUAACUGCAGAUCGCUUUAUAUAUGUUCUAUUGAUUUGUGAAUCACUCGAACUUUUCUUGUGAUCACAUAGAUUGUUUACUUACGUGUUUGAUGAAAAAGAAGACAUAGACGACAAAAUAAUAUAUAAGUUUUUGUGGUGUAAUUGUUUUGUGUUUGUUUUAGUUUGUACAAUAAGUCUUGGGUUUGAAUCUGUUUUACAACAUUUUUUCAUUUUAAAAUAAUUAAAACAAUAAGUUUUUUUUUUUUUUUUGCACGAAACGAUCCUUCUUGUAUAAACCUCAAUCAUUUUGCUGAUUUUUGUUACAAUUGCAUUAAACAUUAAAUAUAGUUUUGUUUUGAUGAUAUGAAUAUUUGCAGGCAACUUAGUUUAUGAGAAAUGUAAUGACUUUGUUGAUUUUGUAAGAAUAGCAAGUGAAAUAGUGGCGAAAAGCUGAUGAGAAAUAAUUAAUGAGAGAGUUCAGAGUUGGAGUAUAACAUCAUAUAUAGCUCAUGGGUUUUAUAAAAACAAACAAAAAAAACUUGUGAAGAAGAUAUUGAUUUACGUAAUGGUUUACUUAUCAGUUUUAUAUAAAACAGAACCGAACCAACACCAAACCAUAAUUUGAAACGUUACCAUAUAUAUAUUUACGAAUUACUGCUCUACGGAGGCAACUAAUUAAAACCCUAAGUAAAAAGAAAAAAAAAAACACAAGCCGCACCUAUGACGAUGUCGGAGCUUCCAGGGGAUGUAGUAGAGGAGAUACUCUGUUACGUUCCGGCCACAUCUCUGAAAAGGUUACGAUCUACUUGCAAAAGAUGGAAUCUUUUAUUGGACGAUGCAAGAUUUGCAAGAAAGCACUUCGAUAAAGCCGCAAGACAUAUUCUAAUUAUCAUGUUGACAGAGGAAUAUUCAAGGGUUUGUUUGAUGAACAUCAAUCUACAUGGGUUUUCAUCUAUAGGUGUAAUAGGUGAACUUAGCCUAAUCAAUUCUCAUCCUAGUUUAAGAAUAGCUGAUAUAUCUAAAGCUUUUCACUACGAUGGCUUAUUGUUAUGCACCAUCAAAGAUAGCACGAGUCUCGUCGUUUGGAACCCAUGUACUGGUCAAACCAUCCAAACCACAGUUCCUUACAAGACAGUCUACUCCACCUUUGCGCUCGGAUCCUACAAAGACAAGAAUUCCGGGUAUAACAACAGCUACAAAAUAUUGUGCUAUUACCAACUGAAAGAAUUUGCAAUUUAUGAGAUUAAGACUAAUUCAUGGAAGACUCUUGACGUCGCUUUGGACUUUAGAUUAAUCUAUAUUGAUUACAAGGUGUCUUUGAAGGGAAAGACUUACUGGUUUGCUGAAGAUAAUGGAGAAAACCAUCAAAAAGCAUUAUUCUUAGCCAGUUUUGAUUAUUCAACAGAGAUAUUUGGACGUAUGUGUCUCCCAUGUUACUGUUCUAGCUUUAGUCUUUGGAAUAUAGCUCUCUCCGUUGUUAAAGAAGAAAAACUUUCUAUGUUAUUACAGCAUGAAAAUACGUCACGGACAGAAAUAUGGGUAACAAAUAAGAUUGACGAGACCAACGUGGUAUCGUGGAGCAUAUUCUUGGUAGUAGAUUCAUCCAAAAUUUAUAUUAACUACGGAGUUAGGUUUUUGGUCGAAGAAGAGAAGAAAUUUGUCGUGUGUUGGCAUAGGAAAGUACAUGAGCUCAAGGAAGAAUACAUGAUCAUAACUGAGGGAGAUAAUAAAGUUAUGGAAGUGGAUUUUGAGGCAUCUACAAUGAGUUCAUGUAUGUCACCUUUGUUAACUUAUGUUCCAAGUUUGGUUCAAAUCCAGUGACUUGGAAGACUGGAGGAGGCAACGACUACGAAGGGGCAAAUUUACUCGAUCUUUUGUGUUUUUAUUUUAUAUUUCUUUCUACUAAAUUAUUUUUGGACGUUUUAGUAUCUAAUGUUUCUAGUAGCUAUAGGAGGAAGCUAUAACAGCAGAUGUUAAAUCAAUGUUUGCUUAAGAUACUACAGGUUUUUUCAUGGUUCUUUAUAAAUCCUCAAUCGUUAUGCUGAUAUUUGUUACAAUUGCUUUAACAAUAUGGUUUUUUUUUAUGACCUGAAUAUUAUUUCUAGGCAACUUAGUUUAUGAGAAGGUAAAAUUCCAAUGUAAUGGCUUUGUUAAUUUUGUAAGAGAAACAC
rnacentral:lncRNA from 1 species